rnacentral:rRNA from 1 species
AUUGAACGCUGGCGGCAGGCCUAACACAUGCAAGUCGAACGAGUGGCGGACGGGUGAGUAAUGUCUGGGAAACUGCCUGAUGGAGGGGGAUAACUACUGGAAACGGUAGCUAAUACCGCAUACCAUCAGAUGUGCCCAGAUGGGAUUAGCUGGUUUGUGGGGUAAGGGCUCACCAAGGCGACGAUCCCUAGCUGGUCUGAGAGGAUGACCAGCAACACUGAAACUGAGACACUGUCUAGACUCCUACGAGAGGCAGCAGUGGGGAAAAUUGCACAAUGGGCGCAAGCCUGAUGCAGCCAUGCCGCGUGUAUGACAAAGGCCUUCGGGUUGUAAAGUACUUUCAGCGGGGAGGCGUUACCCGCAGAAGAAGCACCGGCUAACUCCGUGCCAGCCGCCGCGGUAAUUC